CAGGACAUGGAAGAGUUUUCAAGCCCAUUGGUGAGUACUGUUGACCACUGAAGGACACUACAAAAUCUACCUUGGAAAGAGCAUGGACAAAACAAACAAACAAACAAACAAACCAAACAAAAAAACUCAGGAUCCUGAUCCCUGGACAUCUGAAGCCUUAAAAAAGCCUUUUUUUUAAAAGUUAUAUGAUGUUUUAAAGGCAAUAGAAAAGAUGGGAAAGAAGGAGUUAAUGGGGACAGCAGUCUGGGCUAGAAGAAUGUUGGACAGCAUGCAGCAGCACAAGAGAGCACAUGAAGAUAAGAGCAGUGCAUUAGGGGAAGACAACAAGUGCUGUGGAGGUCUCACUAGCAGGGACAAGGCCAAGGAAUGUAUGUUGAUUGCAGAGGGGAGAAACAUCUGCAGCUAUGAUGGGAUGGUGUGGGCGGAAGAAGAGACUGAGAAAUUUCAUAUGUUAAGCAACGAGAGAGCACAAAGAGCCGAAUAUUGGUUUGAUCAAGCUAGGGCAGCUGUGCCCUAGGGCAACAGUGGUGUUGGAGAAAACAUAGAAGGGAAGGCAAGAGGCUGAGAAGCAGGACUUUUCCAAGAAGAUAAAUGAGACAUUAAACAGAAGUGACUGCGGUACAAAUAAUAUGACAAUAAUAUGGGAUCCUGAGGACUGACACAGAGACAUUGGGAUGAUCAAGUUCAACUGAGCCUACUUCUUGUGAAACCCUGAACAUCUAAUAGAGAAAAGAAAAUCCUCAUCCUGGCCUACACAGGAGGCAAACCCCAGCUGCCUGGUAACUCCACUGGCCAACCGACAUAUGCCUUACCUUCUCUUACAGAUCAGAUAUCUGAUCAAAGAAGGGAGAAGUAUGUGGAGUAUAUUUCCUGAGUAACCAAAGGACAUCUGUGUGCCAGAGUUAUUUUCAGCUUUGAAUAUUUUUUUUAUUAAAUCAAAGCAUCUCCACUACUUUCAUUUUUCCCAUAGGGAAAGGAUACAAGAACAGAUAUGAUAGAUUCUAGUCACAAUACUUUCUGCUCUUCAAAAACUGUUCAGACACUACAGUGCAAAAAAUCUGCAUGAUACAAAAUGGAACAAAUAUAAAUGCUUGUAUAGGAUACUACAGUUAAGGAAUAAUUCUGACUUCAGUGGGAGCUGUGAUUUCAUGCAGUUUUACUGGGUUGUUAAACAGGCAUGGUUGCAUCAAUGGAAAGUUAAUAUUUUUACAAAGUAAAUGUAAUAUAAAAGUUUCUAAGUUAGGCAAAAACUGAUCAUUAAAAUCUCUGCUAUGUUGUUUAUGAAAUGUAGUCCACAGGGUCAUAUAUAUUGAAAAGUGACUUCAAAGCUGAGAAUUGUCACUAGUUAAAUAUUUCCUCUAAGCAUGAUCAUAAAAAAGAUCUAGAACAAAACAGCACAUUCUGUGCCCAAGAAGCCCAUAAGGAGCUCCUUCCAGCAUUAAAGAACUCAGACAGUAACAUAGCAACUCCUUCCAAUGUCUACAAAACAUAAAAUUGACCAAAGCAAGACUUUCAUUAUUGUGACAUUCACAGAUAAAUUGUGGUUUUAUCUUUUAACACAGAAGAGAAUAAAAAUAAGUUUGAUAACUUACACCAGAUGCUGAAAUAUCUUCUAUGUAUUUGUAGAUAGCUCACCAGAGGUCAUGGGCUUCCUUAGUUUACCUCACUUUCAAAUGAGAAAUGGUAUACUUCCUACAUCUUUUCAACAAGAAUGGCAUAUUCCAGUCUCACUGAAAUAGUCCCAGACUCAUCACUUACCUAUUGUUCAAUAUUAAGCUUUAUAUGUUUUGCAAAACAAGUUACUCGUACUAUAAAAUCAAUACAAGUG